rnacentral:tRNA from 1 species
GCGGGCGUAGCUCAAUGGUAGAGCCCAGCCUUCCAAGCUGAUUACGCGGGUUCGAUUCCCGUCGCCCGCUCCA